rnacentral:lncRNA from 1 species
UAAUCAAGGGGCCAUAGCUCUUGCUAAUAACCUAAUGUAUCAUGCCAAGACUAAGCAUGUUGAAUUGGAUAUUCAUUUUGUUAGAGAGGAGGUGUCAGCUAAGCAACUUGAUAUAUGUUAUAUUCCUAGUGUUGAUCGAACUGCAGACAUUUUCACUAAAGCUCUUCCUUAUAGUCAUUUUCAUUAUCUUAGAUGCAAAUUUAAUGUUCUUCCUGGAACAUUUCGCUUGAGGGGGGAUGUUAGAGUAUCUGAUGAUGCUGAUGAUAUUGUACGGUGAUGAUGAACUAAUGAUGCUAUGUAGUGGUGAUGAUGUGGUAUUAUGCAGAGCUCAUAGAGUAUGAUAGAAGAAGGGCUUGUUUGGUUGUUGUAUUAAAGCCCCUCAUUGUAUUAAUUUUAAACAAGUCCAUGUUUGGCAAAACAAAUGUUACAGUAACACCACAUUUUUUUUUUCUCCCUUUUUGCUUUUUGUUUUUGCAACUUGACUUUUGUUUUGCUUUUUGACUUUUGACUUUUGUUUUAUAAUAAUAAUAACUUUUAAUUUAAUAUAAUAUUAUAUAAAAAUUUUAUUUUUUAUUUUUACAUUAUAAUUAUUAAUAUAAAUUAAUAAAUAUGUAAUUUAUUAUUUAAUAUUAUUAUAUUAUAUUUUUUAUUUUUACAUUAUAAUUUAUUAAUAAAUUUAUUUAUUAUAACUAAUAAUAAAUAGUUAAAUAUGAAUAAAUUUAAAUAAUAUUACUUUAAAAUUAAUAAUAAUAUAAAAUAUUAAUAUAAUUUAAAUAUAUUAAUAUAAUAUAACAUAUCAAUAUAAUAUAGUAUUAUAUUUAUAUUUAAAUUAAUUACAAAAAAAUUAUUACAAUACAGUGUAGUACCAAACAUUGUAUAGUAUUAUUAUAAUACAGUGCUAAUGCAAUACAACAUAAUACAAUACAUCAGCAUUAAAAUAAUACAAUAUAGUAUAAUACAAUACAAUGUGUCAAACGCACCCGCACCCGAAGAUUCCAGCAUAAUCUAGCUAUUAGAUUCUUGUAUUAAAUUUGUAAUAUAAAUAGUGUGAUCUGUACACAUUAUGAUUACGAUAGCUUGAUUAAAUAAAAUACACUUUUCUUUCACUUUCCAUUUCAUUUUCCUUAUUACCAAACACCAAAUUAGAUGUAUUCAAUCAUUGCCAAAACUACACAGUAGACAUUGCCUUAUAUGUGCCAACAUUAUUGUUUUUCAUUAUCUGUAAAAUGAAAUAGAAAAUCCUUUGGGUAUAACUUUCAAAAGCCAAUUAAAGACGCUUACAACCAACCUUAGAUAUCACCUUUAGGCACUAAAAUUUCCCGAGCGAGCAAGCAAAUCCAUUAUUGAAAUUAUAAAUACCACCCUUAGGCACUUGUAUCUCUUUCAUACUACACCAACUUCUUGAAAUAAUGGAGAAAACAAGUCAACUUAAAUUGGCUGCUUGCUUUGUUGUUCUUAUGUUAAUUGCUUCUUCUGGUAAAUAUUCCAUGCCUUUAUCUCCUUCACUUAUUUUUAGAGUUUUAUGAGUUUUCCAUUCCAAAUACUUCUUGCAAAAAAAAAUAUAUAUUAUAAAAUUUUUAUUUCUUCUUCUAAAUAAUUUAUUCAUUCGACAUUUGGAAAGCAGUUGUUUAAUUCACGAAAUGCAUUAAAAGAAUUUGAUUUAGGUUUAAUUAUGCAAGGGAGCAGAAGCGAUAAAUAUUGGGGAUUGCAAAGAUGACAAAGAUUGCGACCAAUUUUGUAGUCCUCCCGGUUCUAGUAUAUGCAUGUUUGCAUUUUGUUACAAUCGUGGAGGAAUGCUUUGCGGAAAAAAUUUCUCUCCUGGUCAUCACUAGAAAAAGUGACGAUCAUUUAUAUUUGAUCAUAAUAUGUUGAACAUCGACAUUUAUUAAUAAUGAAUAAUCUGUUUUAUAUAUUUAUGGUUCAUCACGGAGAGGAUAUAUCUCUUUGAAGGCUAAAUCUAUGUUACAUGCAACGUAACAUACAUCCCAAAAUAUAAAAUAGCGCUAAGCACCCUUAAUUUUUAUGGAAACCACAUUAAUAGAAUUAAAAGAAUUACUUUUAAAUCUUAAAGAAGAAAUAAAAGAAAUAAAACAGGAAAUAGGGAAAAUAAAAAUAGAACUGUCAGUAAUACAAAAAGGGCAAAAGAAAAAUAAAAAAGUAGAGCGAUUUGAAAUGUUAAAAACAGGAAUUAUAGGAACAAGUUUUAAAAAACCUACACAGAAACCACAAACAGGUAGUUAUGACGCCUGGUUUAUGGAAACUCAAUACCCAAAAAUAUUAAAAGAAUCAGAAGAAUUAAAAGCAGAGAUAAACAAAAAAGAAAAAGGGAAAGAAAAAUUAGAAAUAAAAGAACAAACCCCAACUGAUUCAAACUCAGAGUAAUAAAAUAGAAGAUAUAUUAGAAAAUUAAACUGAAAAAUUCAGUGAUAUAAACCUUAGUGAUUUAGAAGAUUUUGAAAAAGAAUACCAAAUAAAAAUGAAUACAACAGGAGGACCAGAAAUGAAACCUAAUGUGGCAGAACCAAGUCAUUGAUAUACAACAUGUAAAAAGAAAAGUAGACCUUUUUAUGAAUAUAUACCUCAGGUUAAGAAUACACCUUGGAAAAAAGACUAUAAACCUAAUCAAGAUACAUUAAUCCCAAUAAGCAAUGCUGAAACAUUUUUUAAUUUAGAUUGUAAAAUAGACCCUCGCAAAAUGUUACCUGAAUGGGGAAUACAAAUGAAAUUAUUUUUCAUAUACAAUGGAGCUAAUGACGACUGGAAUGUAGAAACAGAAGAAGAAAAAAUAAACAUAUUUGUAGAUAUCCUAUUGGCUAGUUUUACAGGAAAUGUAUUUAACUGGUGGAGAGGAUUAAGUGAUGAUACACAGAGAUUAAUAAAAGAUUCAACUAAAAUAGCUUUCAGAAGAAGUAAAACAUUAGGCAUUGAAAGAAUAAUAGAAUAUAUUGCUAGUGAAUUUUUAGGAGAAGAUUGGCUAGAAAAUUCCGAAAAAGAAGCAAAUAAUGAGAAAUUAAAUGCUAGACUAAAACUAAUGAAUUUGACAAUUUGCAAUAUGUGUUAUGUAAAGGAAUACACUUGUGAAUUUAAUAAAUAUUAUUAUGAACAAUAUGUAAGUCUAGAAGACCAAGAAGUUUAUAAAAAUUUGUAUUAUUCUAAACUACCAUACCCAUGGAAUAGUUAUUUUAUUAACGAAUAUGAGAAAUACAGUUCUACAAAUAGACUCCCAGAUACAAUAGGAGCUAGGAUAAGAUUUUUAAAUACGAGACUUAGUGAUAUAUGUAUUCAAAGAAGUCUAAUAAAAAAGAGUAGAAAUAUAACAGAAAUAUGUUGUGAAAAAACAGAAAUGCCAACACAAUGGGGCUGUUAUAUACCUAAUAAGCGAAAAAAAGAAAAUCAUAUAGAAAAGAGAAAAAAUACAAAAAAAUAUAAUAAUUUUAAAAGAAAGUACAAAAAACCUGGAAGGAAAUAUUAUAAGAAAAAAUAUAAAAGCCAAAAAAGACAAUUAGAUAAAUCAAAAUGUAAAUGCUGGAAUUGUGGAGAGAUUGGACAUAUUAGUACAGACUGUACCAAAAACAAAAAAGUUAGAAUAUUACAAGAAGACUUUAAAACAAUACAAGACGAGUUAGAAGAAAUAAGCAAUAUAUCUGAUUAUGAAGGAGCAGAAAUUUAUAUGGUAGAAAAUUCUGAAAAUGAGUCAGAAUAGACAAGACUUAGUAGAAAAGGAAGAAGAUAUAGAAGAAAUUGAGGAAAUGGAAAGACAAGAAAAUAAAAGUGGAUAUAGUCUUGUAGCUACCUUUAAUAAAGAAAAAUAUAAUAAACUCUUAAAAUUGAAUGUAGAAAAACCAGAAUACGGAAUACUACAAAAACUAAGGGAUAUGUUUGAAAGAAAAAGAAUAGUACUACAUGAAUAUUAUGAACAAGAAAAAGCUGUAACUAUAACACAAGCUGAAGGAAAUAUUAGAUUCAGCUUGAUAAAUAAGAGAACAAUUGACUUAGCUUUAAGAAAAAUAAAAAAUGAAUCAACAAGAGAAAAAAUACAAUACGUAUAUUUAGCUGAAAUUCAGAUUUUAAUAAAAUCACUUUUCAAAGAAGGAGUAGAUAGCCCAAUAGUUUUGUCAAUACAUGAUCAACGGUUCCAUGAUCCUAGCAUAGGACAUCCAGGAACAGUAGAAGGAAACUUAUGUUAUACCAAACUACUAUUUACAUGUCACCCUAGAUAUUGUGUACAUAUAAAAGAUAAAAACAUAGAUGAGACAUUAAGUUUACACUUUAAAUUAUUAAAAAAGAACCUGAUGAAAGAAGGAAAUAGACUAAUGACCAUACACUACUCUGCAUUAUAUAGUUUUUGUAAUUCAAAUUAUGGAGAAAUCUAUGGAAACAAACCCUACAUAGAAAUAAAUAAAGAAUGUGAAGACAUAGCAACUCUUAUAGAACUUGUCAUUCAGGAUUAUAAAAUCCCCAUAACUUAUGAGCUAAACAUAGAUGACAAAAAACAGCUUUUAAAUGACAAUAAUGAAAACUCUAUAAUCCCUAUAAGUUUUGCAGGAAGAACUCUAAUAAGAGGAAGUUCAUCCAGAAGGCUAAAUACUGAUAAACAAUUAGUUAACAUAGAUAAACAAAUAGCUAGACCUAUAAUGACUAGUAACGUAGUAAAAAUACUUGGGCAAUAUUUUAAUGGAAUAGAUUAUACAACCAAGAUACCCAUUUUAGUAGACAUAGGAACAAGUCAUAAUUAUAUGAAUCAUACUAAAAAUAAAGGACUCUUAAUAAAAGAGAAAGAAAUUUCAUAUGAAUACACUGACUUUAAUGGCAAUAAACAUAUAUGUAAACAAGAAGUAAAAGUUCCACUAAUAAUUGAAGGAGUACGAAUAAUCGUAUCCUGUUACAUAGAUUCUUUUAUGACUACAGAUCCAGAAAAACAUAUAGUACUAGGAAAUAGUUUCCUAAAUAGUUUGGAAUACUAUAAAAUUGAAAAAUAUCAAAUAACAUUACAAAUAGAAGGACAAAAAUAGUUUUUGAAACAUGUUAAAACAAGCUUAUAUAAAAUAUCUUAUGUCUGUUUAUAUAUAAAUAAAUAUAAUAGAAAAAAACAUAGAUACUUGUGCCUUGAUAGACACAGGGAGUGAAAUUACAAUUAUGAAAACCUUUUUAUCGAAUCAAUGGAAACCAAAUGGCAAAAUAAAACUUGUAGGUAUAACAAGGGAUAAACAACAAAUCAAUCAAUCCUUAUUAAAUUUUGAAAUCCUUUUAGGAAGUAAAAUUGUACGAAUAAACCACAUCUUCCAAUAUGACCAAAUGGAUUGUGAUAUCCUUUUAGGAAAUGAUUUCCUCCAACAAUUUCAAUAUUACCAACAAACUCCUUAUACGAUCACUCUUAAAACCCCUUGUAACCAUAUCCUUCGUAUUUCGCGCGAAUUUAAACCUUACAGAGUUCAGCCAGCCCAGCGUGGUGAUAGUCUAAUUUAUGAAAAAUAUUUUUUAAUUUUUAAAGGAAAAAGCUAUAAUAUACAAUUAGAAACAAUAAAAUCUCAACUUGAACAAGUUUAUAAAGAAAAUCUGUUAGCAUUGUGGAAACCAGAUCACCUUAGAGCAAAUAUAGAAUUAAUAGAAAAUAGAAUUAUAAGACUUAAACCAAUGAUGUAUACAGAGGAAGAUAGAGAAGAGUUUAAAAUCCAGAUAAAAGAAUUAUUAAAUUUAAACCUAAUAAGAAAUAGUAAUAGUCCACAUAAUAGUCCAGUUUUUAUGGUUAGAAAGAGAGCAGAACAAGUUAGAGGAAAGACUAGAAUGGUAAUAAAUUAUAAAGAACUAAAUAAAUACACAAAAUUUGAUGGAUAUUUUUUACCAAAUAAAGAAGUACUGAUAAAUCUUGUGAAAAAUAAAACUUAUUAUUCAAAAUUUGACUGUAAAUCAGAAUUUUGGCAGAUAAAAAUGGAAGAACAUAGUAUUCCUUAUACAGCAUUUAGUACUCCACAGGGUUAUUAUGAAUGGCUAGUAAUGCCUUUCGGAUUAAAAAAUGCCCCUCAGAUUUUCCAAAGUAGAAUGGAUAAAAUAUUUAAGGAUUAUAAAUACAUAAUAGUAUAUGUAGAUGAUAUAUUAAUAGCAUCAGAAACAUUAGAAGACCAUAGAAAACAUUUGAAAGAAUUUGUGAAUGUUUGUAUUAGAGAAGGAAUAGUACUGUCAGAAAGGAAGGCAGUAAUAGAACAUAAGAAAAUAGAAUUUUUGGGAAUGAUUCUGGAUAGACAAGGAAUCAGACUCCAGAGUUACAUAAGCAGAAAGAUUAGUGAAUUCCCAGAUAAAUUAGAGAAUAAACAGCAAAUACAAAAAUUCUUAGGUUGUUUAAAUUAUGCUGAAGGAUUCAUAAAAGACUUAGCAAAGAAAAGAAAUACACUUCAAAAAUUACUUAGGAAAAAUAAUACCAGAGGAUGGAACAUAGAACAUACAGAGACUGUAAAAAGCUUAAAAGAAGAAUGUAAGAAUCUCCCUUCAUUAAGAUUACCAGAAGAAACUGAUAGACUAGUAGUACAAACCGAUGCAUCUGACCUGCAUUGGGGAGUUAUACUUAAAACAGAUAUAAACGAAAUUUGUAGGUAUACUAGUGGUACAUUUAACCAAGCACAGGUUAAUUACCCUGUACAUGGAAAAGAACUCCUUGCAAUAUAUAAAGGAAUUAAAAAGUUCUCAUUAUUUUUAUUACAAAAGCCAUUUAUUAUAGAAACAGAUAAUUCUCAAGUAAGCUCAUUAAUAAGCAAGAUUUUUCCAAAUGAACCCCAGUAUAGAAGAUUACACAGAUGGUAAGCAUAUUUGUCAUAUUAUAAUUUCAAAAUUAUACACAUAAAGGGAACUAACAAUUUCCUUGCAGAUUUCUUAAGCAGGAACAUAGAAUUUGGAGAUGGAUCCAGAAAUAAAUAAGAUCCUCUCAGGAAUAGAUGCCGAAUUACAUAGACUGGCAACAGAAGCAUCAGACAUAAUUGAUGCCAUAAACUAUAUAAAAGAGGCUUCAGAAGCCCAUGAAAAGGGAGUACAUUUGUUAGUAUCAUACAUAAACAAUCUGACAAAAGCACUCUCAAUAAACAAAGGCCCAAUAAAUGUUGUGCCAAUAAACACCAGCCCGAAAGGUGAAGGAAGCAGUGGUGGACCCAUCAGAGAGAAUAAACCAAUCUCUGAUCCAGUUCCUGGUCCUAGCCAAACCAUAACCACCAAAAUCAAGCCCUACAAAAACAAAAAGUUUAUCCAAAUAAACAGUCCCUAUACCGAAGAAGAGACAGAGCCUUUAAACCUAAAAGAAGAAGAGUAUAAACAGUUCUCUACAUGGGUAUACUCCACAUGUUCCCAUAACAGUAAUAUUUAUAAAGCACCUGGAAAAAAUAUGUAUCCUAGAAUGAUAGCCACAAAAGGAGCAGACCCACUCCUUGUUGGAAAAAUAGCCCGAUAUGGUUACCUAGACUUAGUAUAUCCUGACAUAGACCUCCGAGAAAUAGCCAGCUUAGGUGAAUUGUUAGUCAAAGAAGUGUCAAGAUUUGCCUAGAAAAAACCUAUAUACCUUAAAUUCUACACCAUAAGUCCAGAAUACCACCAAAAUAUAGAAUACCAAGCCUUUUAUAUGAUAUCCGUAGGUCAUCUCACAAAAAAUUUUAAAGUAGAAGUAGGAACUGAAUACACAGAAGUUCCUCAGAUAAACAAAGCCUGGAUCCAAACCCGAAGAGCCAGAGGAAUAAAAGCCAUAUGGAGCAUAGCAAAGGAUUUGUAUAAAAGAAAUUUCAGAACCAUCAUCAGAUUCCAGAACUAUAUACUCGUGACAGCAGAAGACAGCCAUACACAGUCAAACAUCCUGCUGGAGCUAAUAAAUGACAUAAGCACUAUGUGUUUCCCCAGUAGCAGUGAAACCAUGCAGCAGGCUUGCCAGCUCAUGGAGAUAAGCCAUCCAAACAAGUAAAAAGAAGUAACACGCUUAGCAGACAGAAGAGAUAGAAAGAUAAAAGAUGCUGGUAGAAGAUGCUCGUGGCAGACAAAAUAAAGAUACUGAUAGAAGAUGCUCGUGGCAGAAAAAAUAAUGGAGAUGCCCGACAAGACAAAAAGAUAAAGCAGAGGCACGUGAUUGCCAAAGAAAAAAGAAGAAUAAAAUAAAGGCUCGUGAUAAUCAAAGAAGACACGUGGUUUGAAAUAAAAGAUGUAAAAAUGUAGUUACGUAAGGAAUGAUGUAAGAGCCCAAUAAAAAAGGGGCAGUAAUGUAAUUGUAAAAGAUAAACAAUUUAAAUAUAAAUAAAGGAGAAAGGAGAGAAGGCUCUCAGAGCUUAUCAUUACCAGAACUCAAUCACUUUCUACAGUUCAAAAAACUCUCUGAAACAAUGAACAGCUAAACCACUCCCCUGCUCUAAAUCCUAAAUCAAUACAUCACUGAUCAGAACAAAUAAACACCACAGGAAGGAAAGAGAAACCUAAAAUUAUUCAAUGUUUCUAAGCACAACGAUCAAGAUCCAUACAGUAAGGCCGCUCGAGUCCGCUGAUCCCGUUGAGGCAAGGAGGCCUUUGAGGGAAUAAGGACAACCAGGCUGCAGGUCACUGGAGAAUGAUCGAAAGGCAAAGAAACAAGAAUAACUUAGGUAAUGAUUCUCAAUCUUUAUCUAUUGGUGGAAGUUUGUUGAUGAUUGAUGAUGAAGAGAUUUAUGGAGGAAGAGCAAAUUCUCAGAAGAGAAACUCUUUGAAUAAAUUGAUUCAACAUGAAUAACUAUAUUUUGUUAGGAAAAUCUAAAAAAUAUAUGGUAAACCCAACAACUAGAAUAACAUAUAAUAAUUAUAUGAUGAUAAUAGAUUUUAACUUAGGAUCAUUUAGACAGGGCUCAUAUCUUGUUAGUAAACAAGAACUUGUUAGAACAGAAGACUUACAAGCAGUAUAUAGUCUUAAUCUACCACAAGAAAUAAAACAAAAAAUUAUAAAUCAUAUCAAAAUAGAGAAUCUGAAACAUAACAUAAUCAUGUUAACUGUAGAACAAGCAAUUAACAUAGCCUUAGCAUAUAUGGAAUAUGAAAGUCUAGGAAUAGGACCAUCUUACAUAACAGAUAUAGAAAAUUCAGAUAAUGAAGAACUGGACAUAUAACUUGAAAAAUAUAAAGAGGUAUAUAGGCGGGAAUCCAUCGACGUAAGUUCCAGAGGUGAACCCGAAUGGGCACUAGUCUGGUCCGCAUUGAUGGUCAACAAGCCACGUACUUCUGUUUGAUUUAAUUUAAUAAUAAACACUAGAAUUAAAACUUGUAAAUCUAUUUUAAUAAUAUUGACAUAUUUUUACUUUCUCAGUAGCCGUUUUUAAUUUGAUUAUUUUUAUUUAAUUUUUAAUUUCAGUUAUUUUCUGUUUAAAUACACACACCCAAAAUGGUAUCAGAGCCAUAAGAGUCCGAAAAGAAUCAUAAAAAUUCUAGAACUAAUAUAUAAAAAUUUUGCAAUAAAAUUUUAAUGGAUCCAAUAAAAGGCAUCUGUAAUAAUAAUAAUAAUAAUGAUGAUGAUGAUGAUGAUGAUGAUAAUAAUAAUAAUGGAUCAUUAAACUGAAAAAAAAAAUUAUCCUCUAUUUUCUAAGUAGGGAAAAUGGUAAUAGAAUAUGUCAAUAUGAGAGCUAAUUAUUUUCAUUUCUUGGAAAUAUAUUAUCUAAAAUUCUUCCUUCCAUCUUUAGCUAACUAGAAAUGUUGGCUUGGGAGAUGAGCUCUAUUACAAGUAUAAUUUUUUCUUUUUUUUUCUCUCUACAUUUUAAUUGGGACUUGAAAGUACUCUCUUUUAUGUUCUCAGUUUUAGAGUCUCAUUCUCGUCAGUAAUUUGUAACUUUAAAAGUGCUUUUGUUUAUGAAAUCUAGAUUUGGCUCUUUUGGGUCACACAAUAGGUGGACUCCACUUCAAAAGCUCUGUAGUUUGUACAAUUUUUCAUUUCUCUUUUCUUCAGCGCAUAGAAGAUUUUAAUUUUAGAAUUUUUUUUCUUCUUUUGUUCAUAAAAUAGAAAACAAAUUAUAGAAGCGCACUUAUUUUGCGAUUUAAUUGUCUAAGUUUUUCUUGCUGUUAGCCUGUCAACCGUUAUAAGCAAGGAAAACCCAUUACUGUCUCUAUAUAAUUUAAUAUAAUUUCUAUCAAAAUAAUUAAUUAAAUCAAAUCAAAUAAAUAAACAGCCUCUCAUAUUUCUCCAAAUGAUUAAGAAAGAAUUCGAAAGAACUAAGAAAAUGUUUUAAUAGUUUCGAGAAACUAUUUGGUAUGCCUAUAUUAAUAUUUCUCAUGAAUAUAUGAUUUAUUUUUUUCAUUUAUAGUGAGCAAUGCCACUCAUCUUGUGGUGCAUGAUAUUUUUAUGGGUGGAUUAUUUAUACUCUAAAAAUCUACUUUGAACACUUAUUUACUUUGCACACUCAAUUGAUAAUAUAAAAAUAUAAGUUUUCACUUAAAACACUCUUUCAAAUUCCUAUAUUGUUCCCAUUCACUACUAAAAAAUGUUGAUUUAUGACAGAUUUUAUAUGAUGGAUAUCGUUGUGUCACGAAUCCAUCGUAGAAGCAUAACAUUUUUGUGACAUACAAAUAUAUAUCAAGAAUUUAUGACAUAUUUGUGACUCAUAGCUUAAUGACAUAAGCUGAUGAUAUAUAAGAGUCAUGCUUGAAUUUACUAUUAUUAAAAAAUUAAAACGACAUAUUUAAAUUCAUAAUAGAUAUCGUCGUUUGAUGAGCAUGGUAGAUAUUUAUCAUGAAUUGAAACGGUGCAAUUUUUAUGAGCUAGUUAUUUUAUUUUUUAAAGUCUAAGAGUUUGUUUGGGUUAGCCUUUGCUUUUACUUUUACUUAAAUUAAAACAUAAGUAAAAGUUCUACCUUAUUUUUUCUGUUUGGAUGACCAUAGUAAAAGAUAUUUUUUUUAAUGAGAAGUUUUUUUUAAAGUAUUUGGAUGUCCAUUUAAAAAAGACUUUUUAAUGAUUUUAAAGUCAUUAAUAUGCUUAAAUAUUUGAGUCUAACAAAUACUUAUCAAAUUUAAAAAUCAAUGACAAACAAAAUAAUUAUUUGAUCAAUCUAGCUAAAAUUUUAUAAAUUAAAGUACCGUUUUUCUUUAAAAAAGAAGAACAAAAUAACUAGAUUAAGUUUUAUCUAAGCAUAAAUUCCCUACCAAUAUUUUCGCAAACCACUCCCAUUUCACUUGCUUCAUUUUCAUCAACAUUAAUGUUAGUUGAUGAUUCUUCAUCAUUUGGAACAUACUCUUCUUUUCUCUCUUAAGACUCGAACUCCAAAUCUACAAUAGCUUCUCUCCUUAUAAAGUUGUGUAAAGCCAUUGAUGUGACAACAACAGCUACUUGCUUAUCAAACUUGAAAUUAGGCAUAAGUUGCAAAAUUUUCCACCAUGCCUUCCAUACUCCAAAGGUACGUUCAAUAACACUACGCAAUUAUGAAUGUGUAAAAUUGAAUGUCUCUUGACUAUUCCUUAGUAGGCCACUACUGCAAAAUUCAGAAAGAUGAUAUCUAUCUCCUUUAUAAGGAGCUAGAAAAAUUUUCAUAUUUGGAUACUCCCAUAAACCAAGUAAUAUUUACCUACAAAUUAUAACAAAAUUAAUUAUUCUUAUUUUAAAAGAAGUAAAAAAAAAGGUACAAAAACACUUAUAAAGUGAAGAACUUACCGUUUGGUGGUUUAGGAAAUUUUACAUUAUCAUUUUUUAAUGUCUCCAAAAAUAUACGAGUAUCAUGUGCAGUUCCUUCCCAUCCAGGCCACACAAAUGUAAAUCACAUGUCAAAAUCACGUUGUGCCAUUAUAUUUUGAGUAGGAAUACAUUUUCUACAAAUGUAUGGAAUUUGCUCAUCCACCGGAAGCGAGGCAAAAAUAUGAGUCCUAUUCCUAAAAUGUAAUAUAUUAAUCCAAUUUGAAUAGAGGAGACAUUAGUUGACAUCCUGGAAUUGUAGCUAACUUGUCGAGAACCUCCUGAACACUACAAUCGGGAAGAUCAGUACGUAUCUAUGAAUCCUUGUUCUUAACUGCCUCAAAAAGUUCAUCAAUUCAUUAUGGUUGACUUCUUCAGAAUUUGCACUAUCCACCGGAGCAAUGCAUUCUCAAUAAUAUUUUCAAAACUACAAUGAUUGUAUAAAGGAGGUGUUACACCAGAAGUUGGUGCCUAAUCUCUUCCUCAUGUUGCUGUAACAUCACGAAAUAAUUCAUCUAAUAUAAAAGCAUGGUCUAGGCCCUUAAUCCAAAAUUUUACAGCUUUUGGGUGUUUAUGUUAUUAUAAUUUUAGAAUUAGCGACAUAAAAAUUUAAUACAUGAAUUAAACUUAAAAUAACUUGAAUGUAAAUAAUCUAACUUUGCCUCCCACCAUUCAUUUGUAGCUUCUAUUAUUUGUCUCUCCACAUUCCAACCUAGCCUUAUUUCUCCCCUCACCAAUGCAUCACAUAUUUGCCAUUCUUUCUUCACAAUAUCCCAACGGUUCUUAUGUUGCUUUCAAUCAAAAUUUUUAUUGGUUGCCACUAUAAAAUUUUCUAUAAGAUUUUUCCAACCUUGCUUACUUAAAUGUGUUUCACUUAUAUUACCAACUCUCACUUGCUCCACAGCCAAAUUAACCCAAAUUUCAUGUGAUUUUGGAUCCUAAACAACUUGGAUUUACUUAGGAGACACUAUAAGUUGUCAUCUAAUUCUAGCUAAGGAUAAUAGAUAUUUAUCAAUAGACAUAUCAACAACACCAAAUCAGAGAAAGAAUAAUAGAAAAUCAAUAAACACAAAAGAAUAUAAAACAAUUCGGCAGUAACUGAUAUCACAGCUACCAAUAUCUUCAAAAUAUUAAAUAUCAAUUGUUGUAACAUUAAUUUCAAUUACUUGUUACUGCACAUGCAUGUCAUAUAAUAUGCAGAUCAAACAAUAUUCUUCAUUCUGAACAAUUCGAACUAAAUACAAUUCCUCACUUUACAUUCUAAAAAAUAACACUUCUAUAUGCCCACAUGAAUAAAACCUAUGUGAAAUAAACAAAAACUUUAUAAAUUAACAAUAAAAAAUUAAUUAAAUUAAAUUCGGCAACUUAACUUCUAAUUCAUAUUCCACCAAUUCACAAAACAUUAUUCUUUGUUUCAAGUCAAUUUUAUAAAUUUACUUCAAAAAAUAAUGAAAUAAAGCAUAACCGAAUGGACAAAGAAUCAAAGCAAGAGAUUUCCGUAUAUAAACACAUUAAAAAAUUAAAAAUAAGAUACAAAUCAAAGCAUGAGAUUAAAAAAAAAAUUUCUUACUUGAAAGAAGAUUGGUGUGGUGAUUGUGUUCCUUAUGUUGUUUUUUUUUUUUUUUUGGGUUGAACAAUGAAGAGCAAAACAAGAAAAAUACGUAAGAAAUAGGGUUUAAAGGUUUGGAUAUAGAUAUAAUUUUUUUUGUUCCUUUAUUAAUUUAAGGUUAAUUUAGAAAUUAUGAAAAGUAUAAUAAAUAAGAAAAUAGCUUCUCAAAAUGUGUUUUGGGAAAAGCAGAAAUCUUGGUUUCUCCCAAAAGACCUUUUGAAUUAAAAAAAAAAACUUUUAGUUUGACAUUCAAAUAAUUUCAAAAGAUCUUUUUUAAUUUUAAAAGCUAAAAAAGAGCUUAAUUAAGCUAAUCCAAACAGCCUCGACAAAAACGACGUCAAAUUAAAUUAAACGACAUCGUUUGCAAAGCCUAGGCCUAAGGUUUUCAAUGCAGCAAAUUUUUUCUGAAGUGUUGAAUGCAUCUCUUCGCUACACUCUCUCCCACUCAACUUAGGAAAGCCCUUCAAACCCUAAGUCAAAAUAAAAAACCGCCGCUCACUGAAGAAGGUGCAAACGGAUCUCUUUUCCUGUUAUUUGAAGAAAAUGAAAACAGUCGUUGCCCUCUGAAGUCAAAGUUGCUGCUCUCCUCCGUAUCCGUCACUGGCUAUUGAAGAAACCCACUGCUCAUCGUUGCUUUGGUAAAAAAGGUAAAGACAAAAAUAGCUUGUUUGAUUUUGAAAAUUAAAUUCAUUACUCCUCAAUUUUCCUUGAUUAAUUGGGUUUUUCCAUUUAUUAAGCAUCUUUAAAAUCGAAAUUGAUCUCUCAAUGCCUUGGGUUUUGACCUAAUUAAAAUUGGGGUUUUUUAAAAUUGAAAUUGGAGGUUAAUUUGCCUCAUUUUGGAUGAUGAAUUUAUCACUUAAGAAUCAAUUGAUUGAGUUGAGAUAAAAAAUAUCCCAUCUUAUUGUGUGUUUUCUCUCUUUAAAGUUUAUAGCAAAUUCUUGUAAUUUUAGGUUCAAAUAUGCACAUGGUAAAAAAUUAAGUUAACUGAAUGUUCUAAUGGAUUUGUAUGAUCAGUUUUUGCACAAUAUAUAUUAGGUUCGAUUAGGCCAAUUACUCAAACUCCCGUAAGUGACUUCGCAUGACUCCAAGCUUCGGAAAUGGUUGGCUUUUAAUAUUAGCAUUAGUGGAACUUAAUAAAUGCUUAACUGAUAUUAAUGAAAGUAUUUUUUAGAUUUUAUAUUUGAAGUUUAGUUGUAUAUGAAUGUUGUGAGUAAUAGCUUUCAUGGAAUUUUAUUGAAUGUUGUGACAAGUAUAGAUUUUACUAAAUGUUGUGCGUAAUAACUUUCAUGGAAUUUUAUUUUUGCUUCUGAAUUUUAAGUAACUUUUAAUAUGCUAUUUUUGUUCUUAUUGUGUUGAACUGACUAUGGCAGAAGAAUUCAAGUUUCACAAGAUGUGGCUAGGCUCGCAGCUGUAUUAUUACUGUUGGUAAAUGCUUCUUGCAAGUGUAGUUUGCUUUAGUAUUGAAUUUUUUAUUGUGACAGUAUUAUCUUCUAGAGUAUGUUGGAUUAGAGAAAGGAAUCUAUAGGAGGUAAGAGCUAGCUACUACUAAUACUUCUAUCAAUUCUAUUAAAAUGCUAUUACUUCUGUUGCUCAUCGUAUGUUUGUUAAAUGCUUGAAUGAAAGUUAUCUGCAUUUCUUAAUAAAGAGGAAAAAGAAAAUAUAGAGUAGUGUUAUUUUGGAUUUAACUUACUGAUUUUUUGGAUGCCUAUAUAUAUUGUUACUUGAAACCAAAUUUUUGUUUUGCUACUUUGGAAUUUCUAAGUGCUUGUUAAUGGAUUUGUGUUUUCUUUAUUAAUCUGAACGUAUUCUAAAGCAGGUCUAUAGCUACAAGUUGAUUACUUAUUUCCAUAACCUGGGGGUUUUUAUUUGAUUAUAAUUCUUGAUCAUCUUUUAUUUAUUCAUUUUUCAAUGAAUGAUAAUAGGUUUUAUCGUUACAAGACUUAGAUCUUUGAAAUAUCAAAAUUUUAGCUAGCUUCAUUUUUUUAAUUUUUCUUUUUGAGCUUUCAAUUUUCUUGAAUCAGUUUAUUAAUGCAUAAUUUAUCAGGUUUGCUUAAUAGUUAUUGGCAAUAAUACUUUGGUUCUGGCACACAUGGUAGAUGGCUUUUCAUCCACUAUUCUAGCUCUAGAAUUUAUUCAUUUUAUUUGUUAACUCUUGAUUAUCUUCAAAUACAGAUCUUUUAUCAAUCAAUUUAUUAGAGACCACUAUUGUGGGGCUUGUGGGAUUGCUCUCAAAGAUGAUGGGGGUGAUGUUUUGAAGAGGCUUUAUUUCCAGCAGUAGCAGCCAAUGGGUUUGAAUUUUGUCCUUUAUAUUCGUUGUUAAGGACUGUUUAUCUAAACCAUACAUAUUUUGUUUAUGAAUUAUACCAAAUUACGAAAAUACUUUUGGUUCUUUCAUAUUAAUUUUAAAUUCACAUUCUUUUGUAGUGUUAAUGGUAAUUAAAAUAUAUAUUUCCUAUGAAAUUAAAAAGAAAUAUAUUAAAAUUGGUAAAAUUAAAUUGGAUUAUAAUUCAUAAAAUAUAUUUAUAUAAUUCAAAAUUAAAUUUAAUUAAAUACAAAUAAUAACUAAUGAAAUAAAUUAAUAAUGGAAUAAUAAAAAAUAUGAAUAUCCACUAAAAUUUGAAAUCGCAACAAAAUUCGUUUAAAAUUUUGGAAUCCCACCAAAUUUAUUUAUAUAUGUCAUUAUCUCAUAGGGAUGGCAAAAUAAUUCGGACCCGAAUUGGACCCGCACGAACAUGGAUGAUUCGGACCGGGUUCAACCCACACCGGAUACAAAAAAAUUCGGAAUCCGACAAUAAUUUAAUAAACCCAGAUGUAUCUGGAUUUAGAAUAGGUCGACCUACAUAUCCAGCACCUAGACCCGAAUGUCUUUAUUUUUAAUUUUUUUUAAUAUAAAUAGAAUAGCAAAAAGGAAAGAUGAAGCCCUAGUUUUCACUUUACAACUCUCUCAAUACAACUCCCAGCCAUUUUCUUCUCUUCAUCAAUUCAACACAGCCCCUAACUAUUGCUUUUUUUGUCAUCGUCAUCUCUCCACUUUGCUGCCAUCGCGGCUGUGUUGAUCAUUAUCGUCAUCAACUGCCAUUCAAUUUGUUGAUUGGUGCCAAACUAGAUUCAAGUGUGGUAUCAAUUACCAGCCUCCAAUUAAUGUUUCGAGUGGUGAUCUCGUGAAGGUGCAAAGGGUUGUGUGCAUGACAGCGAACUCAACUAGUAUUGCUAAGGUAUUUUCUCGCAUUGGCCACAAUUUUGAUUUGAUGUAAUGCCAAGUGGGCAUAGAGAAAGGUGAGUUCUUUGAAGCCCGUGAGGAUUUUGCAGCUUUGGAGAAGGAUUAUAAGGACGUUGGUGCUGAAUCUGGUGAGGGUGAAAAUGGAUAUGAGGGAGAUGAUGUGUUUGUAAUUUUUUAGGCUUGUGUUCUUUUGAUUGCUUCUUUGAUGUAAGGUUGAAUUCUAGUUGCAUUGGUUCCCAUUCUACUACUUUUACAUUUUUGGUUGGCUAUGCGGCUAUGUAUUUUUUUCCAUUGUUAUCCACAGCAUGUUAGAGAAUUGAAAAGGGGAAAAAAAUACAGGCAUCUGGGUUUGAAACUCACAAUCCGGAAACUGGGAUUUUUCUGGGUUAAAUUCGGUCCGGACUUGGAGAUAAAUUAUCCGAGUUUAUAUCCGGAUCCGGAAUACCAAAUUAACAUCUGGGUUCGGAACCGAAACGACCAAACCCGAACCCGAAAUAUGCCAUCACUAUUAUCUCAUGACAUAUAUUAGUCAUGCAUGAAAGUGAUUAUGACAAAAAUUAGUCAUACGCGAAAUGUUUUUUAUCAAAAUAGUUAUGACGAAAUCAUGACAGAUAAUAUGUCAUCCAUAACACAACGUAUAUAAACAAUCAUCUUAUUUUCUUGACAUCGGAAUCAAUGACAGUCGUUCAACUGUCAUGCAACAAGUCAUUAUGGGUAAUACUUGUCAUAAAGGCCUUUUUUUCUAGUAGUGAUUACCUAUUUCUUUAAUUACCUUGUUUCCUCUCAAUAAAAUAUUCAUCAUCACAAGUAAAAUAUCUUUUUUCCAUUUGUAUUAACUUUUAUUUUCCUUUCAUAAUAAGGUUUGAUAUUUGUUUAUUCUUCUCUUUAAUGCGGACAUUUUAAUUUUGUUUUUCAAACCCAUGAAAGCAUGUAGAUUAGAUAGAGUAAAUGUCAAAAAGAAAAUUUAAAACAAAUCUUAUCCUUUGAUUUUCUUUGAUUUUCUUUUCUUUUAUUUCAUUUUCUUAAGUUGGAGUGGUACAAUUUAUUGUUCUUCCUCCACUUAUGUUUUUUUAUUCUUUUUGUUUCAGUUGCAAAAGAUGGAACAUGUUACUUUUAUGUUUUCCUAGCAAUUCUAUUAACAAAAAAAAUAAAAUGAGAAAAUGUAGUCUGAAGUAAUAGACAAUGUUUUAUCAUGAAUAUUGAUUCAAUUUUUCAUCGUAUGUGGUUUACUGUAGAUAAAAUAUGAUACUGGAUAAAAAUUGUUAAACAAUAUUUUAUUAAAUUGUUCUUAAUAGUAAAUUAUAUUUAGGUUAAUUUUGUAAUGUAAAAAAUUAUUAAAAUAUGAGUGUUCGAAAUAAAUUUUAGAGUGCAAAUAGUCUCCCGUAUUGUCAUGUAGUGUGGGUUUGGUAAUUUACAGUUUUAUCAAUAUUUUUGAGAUGUUACAAAAUUUUGUAAUUUAUGUACAAAAGUUGCUAUCCCCCCCCCCCCCCCCCCCCCGAGGCCAAAGUAAAUUUCAUUUUAAGGGCCCAGAAAAGACAAUAAUACAUCAUCACAUCGACCACAAAUAAAAUACUUAAGAUAACCUAAGACUUGAGUCUCGGUUAGGAUAACGCUUAAUAACAAAUAAAAUAAGAAAACCAACUACGUUAAUUACGAAUUCCUUACAGCCGAUAAGCAAAAAGAACUCAAUGCACUAAAACCUAACAUAGUGCUGAAGAAAUUUUUUGAGUUUGGCCUAGUCUACCCACCUCAAAUAUUGUAGGUAAAGACUACAUUCAAUAAUAUAUAUAUAUAUAUAUAUAUAUUGAAUAAUUUACAAUUCUUCAUCAUUUCAAAAGAAAAAAAAAAUCAUAUGCAAAUUCUUUGCAAUACGCUAUGCAUGCAACCAUUUUACCGUCCAUAUAUAUCAUUCACACCAAAGAAACUUUAAACAUAAGAAACACAUUAAGUAAGUCUCGGCAAAACAAAUAAUUUUUUUAAAAAUGAACAUAAAAUAUAAUAUUUUUUUAUCGCCUUUAAGUAGCCAUGCUAAAAUCGGGACCCAAUAACCAAUUGCUUCUACAAGCCUAGCAGCCCCCUCCACAUCUCCCCAACAAGUGGUAUCAAAGUCAGGCUAUAGUAGUCAAAAUAUGGUAGUGGAACAACUUAGAUACAUUGGAUGAAAGUACCACAAUUCGACGACAAUUCCGUGUAAGGUAGGGAUUAUUGAGUUGUGUCUCACAUUGGUUAGUUAAGAUGUGUUCUUGAGUUUUAUACGUAAGAUAAGCUCCCCAUCAAUAGGCUACUAUUUUAGCUUAGACACUUGGAUAUCCCAGGCCCAACAUCUAACAUGUAACAUAAGUAAAAUGAACGCAUUAAAUGGUUAAAGGGUGUCAUUUGAUGAGUUCCUAAAUAAGAUAUGUUCUUUCACUUGAUAAGUUAGUUUUUUAGAUUAGAUAUUUGGAUAUCCUAUGCACCUAUGCCCAACCCCUAAUGUGAAACAUAAGUAAUUAAAAUAUCAUAAAUCUAUAAGUAACCACAGCCAGCGUACAUGCCUUAUCUAUGCCUUUUAUACAAACUUUUACUUAAAUGAUUAUCGUUGUGCAUUCACAGAUCCCACACACAAAUAAAUACUCAACUCUGACGUAAACUUGAGAAAACAUUGCGUUAGAAUGAAAGACAUAAUCUAAAAUGUGUAUUGAGUUUUUAAAUCUAAUGAAAACUCUCACUGUUGCCAUGCGAUGCCACCAAAAAAGGACAUAACAACAACUAUUGCACAUCUUUACAACUAUCACUCAUAUAUGUAUAUAUAUAUAUAUAUGUGUGUGUGUGUGUGUGUGUGUAUGUGUGUGUGUGUACACACACACACACAUAUAAAUAUGGGAAUUGGCGCCCAUGAUUGGCUAGACUGGCCCAACAAAAAGAAACAUCUAGAAGCUUCUUUUAGAUAGGGUUUUAUAUAAAUGUUGUAAGUUUAAUUAGAUUAUGAGAGUUAUGAAGUCUUUUGGUUGAAUUCAAUCACUCUCAUUGGCUUCUAUAUAAACACACCUAUUGUAUCUAAAAUACAAGUAUGCGAGAGACAUGAACAAUACGUAGAACAUAUUUGAAAAUACAAAGAGCGAAAAUGAGAGAAAAGGCAGUGGGUUCUUGCGAUGUGAUAUGAGUGGAUCUUAUAUUAUUAUUAUUAUCCUUCAACCAUAAGCAUACAAUGGUAUGAGGGUGUUCCAUGAGAUUAUCCUCUGUCUCUAAUCAACUUGACAGUGACAUAAUCUCGUUGUGAUAUGCUUCCACAUUAAGGAUCAAAAUGUAUGGUUUUGGAUCUCUCAUUAAUUAUAUGUUGAAUAUACAUGAAAAUCAACAUUGGUAUCAAACCCAAUGUAGGUUAUGUUCUGUUUUGAUGUAUUUGCAUGAGACAUGCCAUGUUCUUUGAUGAAAUAUAUAUUUUUGUGUUUAGAACACACUUUAAUGGUAUGUAAUGAAUCACUCAUUGUUAGGCCUUGAUAUUUGGUUUACAGAACAUGAAUAUAUGUGAAUUAAAUCUGGAAUUUUAUAUGAAUUUAUAUGGCAUAAGUUAUGAGAAAGCAAAAACCUAACCAUGAACCCGUAUGAUUAUUUUACUUACAACUCUUGACACAGUGGUUAGUUCUCUAUAAAUUUGAUAACAUUAGAAAGAUAAUUUAGACAACUUUCCAACGAUAUAUCAUAUGCAUAAUUCUGAGUAGCUCGUGCACUACACGCGCAUAGCGUGCGUGUGAAAAGUUGGCAGCACAGCACUUGUCGACUCAAAUAGGUGUUGUAACUUUUUCUUGUGCUAUUGGUGUCAAUGUCUGGCAGCACAACACUUGUCCACUAAAUGGGUGUUGUAACUUUUUCUUGUGCUAUUGGUGUCAAUGUGCAAGUAUACACAACAAGUAAUAUAAUGAUGAGUAUUCAAGAUCAUCUCCAUAGGGAUUGAUGUUAUUAGAUUUGCUACAACAAUCUUUAACAAUGCAGUUUUACUUUGAUUGAAAAUAAAACAAAUAAUAAAAUUAAUAAACUAAUUGAAAUAAAAUGCAAUAAAUAAAAAUGCAACAAAGUAAAUUCUUUAAUCAAUCACAAGAAUAAAACCAAUAUGAAUAAGGUAGUUGAUUGAUUAAACUUUCUUAAUGAUUUUGACUAUUUCUUCAAAUUUUAGGCUCGGUUGUUACAGCAUCUGCUACAUCACUGGGCAGAAUCCUUAUGUAUCCUCAAUUAUCGCAUGUUGGAUGUCUUAUAUCUCUAUGCAACCUAACAAUGACCAAUUAUACAUAAGAUAUAACAUUACAUGCUUAAGUUCUAAUUACCCUACAAGGUGAAUCCCUAUGUCUAGUCAUCAGUAAUUUUAGAUUAGGCAUGACCCUUUUGGAAUCAAGUAAAACUCAAUUCAGGAAACACAAUCUAAAACUAAAUAUUGCUCUAAUAUGUUCCAUUAAGAGAAGUCAUUUUAUGACUAUUUCUUAGCUAGUAUCAUUAAAUGCGUGGUCAACCGAAAUAAUGACUAUAAAUAAAUAUUACCAAAAUAAAAUGCUAUAGAAAACAUGCAACAACACAUAUAAAUUCAGUCAAGAAACCAUUAAGAUUGUUUAUCACUCAACCACAAUUAAAUUAGUUCAUGGUUUGCGAAAGAAAAAUAAACAAAAGAAGUUCAGCCAUCAACUACAUCCCCAUGAUUAAAGAAUGAACCAAAAAUCGAGAAAAGAAUAAGAAAGAUUGAAGUCCGAUUGAUUUCUACAAAUUCUCCACUGAUGCAGUCUUGAUUCUUGCUCUUGAAUUAUGUUUGUCCUUUAUUUCUUUUCGGUUUUUGUUCUUGGUUGACGGUUCUCCUUUUCCUUAACGUGUGCGCUUUUUUUAUAGCUAGAAAUUAGGGUAAACAGAAGCUUAGGGCGCCUAUCUCCCAUAUUAGGAAACUCCAUAUCGCAAUCUGUUAAGUAUCUCGCCCGAAAUCUUCUCUAUCAAUGCUCCAAAAUUACUACAGCAAUGAGUACAACAUCUGCACUAUUUCAGUUUAAAUUCAUUUGUAGCCAAGUUCUUUCCUUAUUUUUGCAAGCCUAUUACAGUAGCAUUCAUUCCUUGAAAUUUGAGCUUUCGGUCACCUGCAAUUAUGCAUAUGAUCUAAGCACACAAAUUAUUCUAAAAAAUAAAAUCUAUUGAAACUAAACCAAAAUUGAUACUCAUGCAAAAUAUAACUAAAAUGCAAUAAAAACAUACCAUUUACUCUUUAAGUAAUAAUGAUUCAAGUCUAAAAGUACCAUGAUAACUCUUAUUUCAUAGAGUUAUCAACAGAUGAGCCGGCAAGCGAGCGUAAGCCCUUUAAGCACGCUCACUGGUUCAGUCGACAUGCCAUAGCUUGGCUGUAUUUGAGUGAGGUGCACGAACUGCCUUCUCGACCUCCGUUUUGAGCACCACGUACGGCGAGUAACUUAGAAUUUUAUUCUCUUUUAUUUGUUGAUUUAAAAAUAAUUUUUUAUUUGUAUUACUUAUCUAUUUUGAAUCAAAAUCUUUUGAAGCUAUUUUAAAUAAAAUAAAUAAUUUAAAAUAGAGAUAAAAUUUAGAAAAAAAUAUUUUUUAAAUACUUUGAGAUGCCGUUGACAGUGCUGCACUUCUGUGGAAGCUAUUUCAACACGUUACUAAAUGUACUCUUGCUAUAAUGCAUAUUGAUGAAUUAUCUAAUAUUUGUUGAGAUAAUGUAUACUAUUUGUUUGAAAAUAAGUAUGAUUGUUCUUAAUACUAUUUGUUUGAAAAUAAGUAUGAUUGUUCUUAUUAAUCCAUGUGAUAAUAAUGAUGAAUUGAUUUAUGAAGUAUAUUUAUAUAUCACAUGUAAUUAUUUUAAUGAGAACACAAUAAGAUAUUUAAAAUAUAUUGAGAUUAUUAAGCAUGGUCUAGUAAUAUGAAUUUAUGUAUGUCUAUGAAAAUUUUGUCAAAAAGACGAUAAGAAUUUAAGGAAAUAAGGUAUUUAAAUAGGACUAUCCAAUCCCCAUCUCUUUCCUAGAAAAUUUUCUAGUGCAUUACUCAUGUCAACAUAUGCAAGAAUGCUUUAAUUCUAUUAUAUUUAUAAAUCCUUAGUGUGAGUUCUAUUAUUAUUAAAAUUUUGGGAAUAAACAAUAAUUGAACUAAAUAUUUUGUGCAACAAAAUAAAUUUAUGUUAAUUUUUGGAAAGGAUGAUGAUUAGAAGCCUUGACGAGCUUUUGAUUCUAAUCCUUAUUUUAAAAUUUUCAUUUAUUUGAUUUAUGCAAAAUAUAUUAAAUGUGUGUGAAUUAAAUGAAUAUUAUGCUAGCAUUGAUUGUCUCUUGAUUGAAUUUAAUAGAUGUUUUGGAAUAUGUUGUGUAUAAAUUAAAUGGAAAGACCAUUGAGGCAUAAACAAAUACCAAUUUUGAGCUUUGAGCAUAUUGCUUCUCUUUAGAAGAUAAAGAACAUUUUAUCGAGUUUUGCAAAACCCCGCAUACUCGCAUCUUGUUGCUGAGUAACAUGCAUUAUGCCCUUAUUAAUGAGUACAAGAAGUAUUAGGUUCCUCAUAUACAAGAGCUCAAAUAUACUAGACACAUUGUAAUUGACAAUGUUAGGUCUAGGCAUUAAAAUAUCCAACCCCAGUAGUUGGGAUAAUAUGAGAGUUUAUAUAACACAUAACCUUAGGAAUUUGAAAGCUAGCACCAAGAGACUGCUAAAGCUUGUAAUCAAAUAUGUGUUGCUUAGAUCUAAAAAAUGAGUGCUAAAAGGCUGCUAAUGCUUCCAAUUAACUCCAUAUUACUGAGUCCAACUAUAAAAGAUGAGCUCCUAGAGGCGGCUAAUGCUUCAAACAAACUCCAUAUAAUUGAUUCUAAUUCAAAAAGAUAUGCACUUAGAAGUGGCUAAUACUUCUAAAAUUAACCUAGCAAGAAGGAUUUUAGGUUGCGCAAAGCCUAAAGCUUUGAGCAUAAAAGAUGGGGUAGUCUCUUCUAGUGGAAGUUAAGGACUUGAUCCUAAUCUAAGUGACCAAUGCUAAAAAUGCUAGAUAAGACAAGCAAGCUAGAAAAAAAAAUUGUAUAUGGUUAGCUACUCACCAUGAGUUUGAGUCAUUUCGCUCGUGAUUGCAUUGAGCAGAAAUAUACUAAGUAACCAUACCUUAUAAGUAGAGAUCACAAAAAGGUUUUCAUGUUUUUACAUUGUAAUUGUCAAAAGGAAAAGAUGGAUACAUAUGAGGAUAUCCUUGUUCUAGAAAUCAAGGUAUAAGCAUCUGCAAGUUGGUAUUGCAUGGUCCUUAUUUUUCAAGAAUGAACGUACAUCGAAAAUUCAUCAAAAACCUUGGUCUAUAUUGUUGACAUUCUUAGAUUAGGAUACUUAAUUUUUAGGUGUUUGUAUAACCAAAUUUGAAAAGAGAUUUUAUGGAAAGUUGUUGACUCUGCAUCAUCUUGCAAUGAUGAUGUACAUGCCAAAAUUUGGCAUAUUAGACUUAGACAUAUAGUUAAGUUGGUUAGAGAGAGCACAUUGGGCUCACUCAUCGUAAUGAUAAAGUGUAUGUGUGAAAUUCGUUUAAUAGAGAAAACAACUUAGAAAACCACAAGGCAAAGGAACAAAAGCCAAAUGCUCAUUGCGAGUAGUCCAUUUUGACAUUGUGAUAAAAUGUAUUUAAAGGCUAGAAAUAAAGCCCAUAGUGAUUACAUUUAUAUAUCUAUCUAUUUUGGUCCAAUAUCUUUGAUCUCUUAUAAAUCAGUUGUACCAUGAUACUUCAAAUUACUUUUGGAUAUGGUAGAGAUCGAAUUAAAAUAAACCAAAAUAUGUACAUCUUUCUAAGCAAUUUUGGAAACUAUAUACAAGAAAGAUAAAGAUAGAUAAUUGAUUAUUCUUAAAACAACGCACUACUUGGAGUAGUGCAAAUUAAGGAAUAGAGCAUUAUGAGAAUUGAUAAAGUAAUAAUAGCUCAUGAGCUUCUCCAGUAUGUUGUUUGGAGAUAGUCUUUUUGAUUACAACUUAAAUACUUAAUUAAUUUCUCAUAGGAUGAGUCAUUUAUGCACCAUUCUGGAAAAGUACCUAACAUAACUCAUUUGCAACCUGGGAUAUGCAUUAAAAUAUAUUGAACAAAGAAAUAGGGCCUGUGUUCAAUAGUGAAUGAAUGGUUGAAAAAGUGACUGGAUAAAAAACCACAAAUGUCAAAAUUUCAAAUUCCUAAGCAUUAUAGAAUUUGAUAAAGAUGUAUCCUAAAUUAUGAUUUGGAUUAUCCUUUUCAUGAUACAACUUUUGGGUUGAGAAUUGAGUAUAGGUAAAAUUUGUUUGGAAAUCUUAAUCCUAGUGGAAGCCAACACCUAAUGAGGUGAUCUCCCAGAUAAUCAAUUCAAUAAAAUAAUUGAAAAGGAAUCUUAUAUCAUCUUUUAAACAUUGAAAGGAGUUUCUUCACAAUUAUUUUAUAAUAUGGUAAUGAGCUAGAAUUAUUUACAUAGAGCUCUCACUCUAAAUGCUAAGGAACUUUAGAUAAAGGCAAUGCUUAAUAGACAAAGUCAAUAAAUAAUAUCUGCGUCUGAGGCAUAGUUGGUCAAUUGCCAAACAAGCUAUUGCAAACAAUAGAGUUGUGCAUGUGCUAGGCAAAAGGCACAAGUAUAAUUAUAAGUCUUGAUUGAUUAAAGUUAUGGUCUAGCGGUGUAGACUAGAAAAAAAUCUCUUGACUAAAAGGUUUCUUUGAGGCAAUUAUUUCUGGUCAACAUUACACAUGCAUUUAUUGUCACAUCAAAUAGAUGUAAUAAAUGCAUCUCAAUGGAGAAUUGGAGAAAAAAAUAUACAUAUAAAACAACUACUAGGCAUUGUUGCCAAAGCUAUUUUUAGCGCACAGUUUGUAUGCUCAAAAGAAUUUUACUAAAGACCUUAAACACAUAGUCUGCUUGUGUGCAUAUUUUUUAUGACAUCAUCUUGAUAAAUGAUAUCUUAAAAUUUCAUCAAGCUGCAUUUCAUUGCAAGUCUAGGAUGAUUGAAGAUAGCCAUUGCAUUGAUGCAUGUGGACGAUAUUUCUAGAUGACUAGAAACAAAGAAGAUUUUGUCAAAGUCAUUAGCGUUGAUCAUCUAAUGAAAUAUGGGCAAAGUUGCCUAUGCUUUAGGAGUUUAAAUCCAAAUAGAAUCUUUUAAGAUUUUCUAACUCUGUCAGUAGAGUUAUAUUUAUAUUAGAAAAUUCUUUAAAGAUUGAAAAUAGCAAAUUGAAAGCUAAGUGGAUACUCCUAUAGAGAAUGACAAAUUUAUACAGACAAGUUUAGUUCAUAUUCUGAAUAAGAAAAAUGAAUAUAAGUAUAUUGAUCACGGGAUACAUCAAAACAAUUAAAGAAAGAAGAUAAUUAUAAGUUGAGCACGGUGAAAGACAAAUCCCAAAUAAUUCUGCACGAUUCUUCAAUGUUGCCGAAACAGCACUCUCCAAUUCUGAUCUUCUUCUCUUUUCUUUUGUAAUUAUUCUGAUGAUAAUUCCAUUGCCGCCCUUCUAUGUGGUGCACGCCUCCCUUUUAUAUUGCAAAUUAGGGUAAACCAAAGCCCACGAGCGUGCAUGCGUUAAAUUAGGAAACAUGCAGAUUGCGAUUCUGUGGCUGACCCGCGCCUAAGUUUUCUCCCGUAUUGCUACAACACUGAUUGCUCUAACAUCCGCAACCAUACUGCACUAUUCCUGAUUUUGCUUUACUUCUUUUGUGGUCAUCUUCUUUCCUCUUCUUGCUCAUCUAAUGUCUCAAUUAAGACUUUCUGAAAACCUACAAUUAUGCACUUGUUUUUAGCACAAAUUACUUUGAUUCAAGCAAAACUUAUUAAGACUCAACUAAAAUGAAUGUUUAUGCAAAAUAUAACCAAAAUGUAAUAAAAACACCUUAUUUGCUCUCUAAGUGACCUUGAUUUAAAUCUAGAAAGGAUGUAAUAACUCUCAUUUCCUAGAGUUAUCAACGCUCAUCAAGGGUACCUAAGCCUAAUACCCUGUAUCAAGGAUACACAUGAGCUGCUGCGUGAGAACUUGGUAGCUGAAGGGACACAUGUGCACUCCACUAGUUUUGCGGAUGGACUUGGUCUCCAAAGAAUCUUUACUUGCUAAUUUUAUUAUUUAAAUUAUUGUUAUUUGAUUUAGCUAUUAGCUUAAGAGAAUAAGUCAGCCUAGAAUCAACCAACAAUCACGAUCAGUUGAGAUUGUUCUGGCUUAGUAUUGUUCUAAGUAUAAAUAAGCUCCAACAGCAAGAAUAAAAUUAUUCAGUAUCAAUUAAAUUCAAUUACUUGUGGUUAUUCUCACCCUAAGAGAAAUCUAUCUUAAUUAGCUUUGACUGGGACCACAUCAAAAGUAUACAAGUCAGAAUGCGGGUAAUAUCCGCAUGGAUUGCGACAAAUAUCCCCAAUAUCUGGAUCCGCAUAAAUUAAAAUUCAAUAAUUUAAAAUAUAAUUUACGAUUCAGCCAUUUACCUAAUUUUAUUAAAUAAAAUCCAAUCACAAUUCAAUUAUCAAUAAUUCAAUACCUAGAAUAACAUGUGACAUCAUAAAGUCACAAAUAAAAAUACCACAACAUAAAUCAAACAUCAAGAGUAACAUAAAUCAAACAUCAAGCCUAGCACCACCACAAAUUCACAAAUAAAAUUAUAAAAACACCAUAAAUCCACAUAAUAUAAUGCAGAUCCUAAUAUAUUUCUUAAUUUAAUUUAACUUCUAUAUUUUAAUUAAUCAUAUUAUAUUUUUCAUUUAACUUAUAUAUUUUAAUUUAAUUUAAUAAAUAAUUUAAUUAAAAAACUAUGCAGAUCUAGAUAUUCAAUUUUUCAAUGCAUUUGCAUACAAAUCCACACAGAUUUUAAGUUUUAGGAUUGAAUUUUCAUUUUUUUAAUGUGUGGAUACAGUUUUUCAAGAUUCGAAUCUUCCGAAUCUUUGCGGAUCUAGACUGGAUUCAAAUAUUUUUGCCAUCCCUAUGCAUUGUCAAUGCUGUAAAAACCUAUACAGUAUUAUAGAGAAAUCCUUAAAAUAAAAACUAAAAUAAGUAAUUACUUAAACAUCAUCGUUAUUCAAAUAAAUCCUUGAAAUAUAAACCAAAAUAAGCAAUAAAAGUCAAAUAUGCGCUACAACCAUGAGAUGUCCGUAAUAGCAUGCCUCCGCAGUAAUUAUUUGAUUUUCCCAAAAUACUUCCAGUGAUUUAUAUGACUAAUAAACCAAUCUUCCUUUUUCGUGAUAUUAAAGCAGGACAGGGAAUCUCUCAUUUUCACGAGCACAUAAUAAAUAUGUUGGGGAGCCUCUAAGUUACAAUAAUUGUAACAUACAUCCCUAAUGUGAACCACACAAAAUUGUAGGACCCACAAUUUAUGUGGUUCACAUGAGGGAUGUAUGUUACAAUUAUUGUAACUUAGCAUUUGCCAAUAUGUUAAUAUAAAAGUUGUCCAAUUGGAAAAGUUUAUGUUGACAAUGGUAAAAUAAUUUACACUCAAAUUUUUACUGUGUACUUGUCGUGUCGUGUCUUGUAUUAUGCCAUGUGCUAUUUGACCCUUAGUUAUCUCUAAUCACAGUGAUAAUUUUAGAAAAUUAUUGGCAUUAUUAUAGCCCCAUCUUGUAAGCCUCGUUUUCUGUAAUUGUAAUUAGGGGUGGCAAAAGGAAUAAACGAAUCGAAUCGUAAACGAAUUGGGUCAAAAUUCUAUGGAUUCGAAUUCGAUUCGUUUAUUAAAUGAAUUGAAAUUUCAGGAUUCGGAUUCGAUUCGUUUAUUAAACGAAUAUUCGGUUCGAUUCGUUUAAUUCGUUUAAUAGAAUUGAUAAACGAAUCGAAUCGAAUCCGGAUUCGUUUAUCCUUUACGAAUCCAUAACGAAUCAAAUCGAAUCAGGAUUCGUUUACAAUUCGUUUAGAAAAAUAUAAUUAAGAAACAAAAUUAAGCAAAAAAAACACAAAUUUAAUAUCCCACAACAAAAUACAAAUAAUUCAAAUCAUAUUAUACAGUCAUCCAAAUACCAAAUACCAAAUCCUUAAUAUUACAAAUAACAAUAAUUCAAAUUCAAAUUAUAAAGAAAUGUAAUUUCUUUAAUUCUCUUCAUUUGUCUUUGUCACCUUGAAAACAAAAAUCCUACACCAAAAAGUAAAUAAAAUGUUAUUAACAUGCUGCAAUAUUGAUAAUAGUCAUAGUAAAAUUUCAAAAAUCAAAUAUAUAGCAAAUUUGUAGCAUUUUCAAGGAAAUAAUAAUUAAACAAGAUAAAAACUUUACCUAACACACUCACACACUGUCAUUUGGAGCAUUUGCACUCUCUACAGAUGGAGCACAAUUAGUGCUCAUGUUCAUAAACUAAUAAAUCAAAGAAAAAGUCUAACAGAGAAAUUAACAUACAUAAUCACUUUCAAGCACCAUUACCAAGACCACGAGCCGAUUCAUCAUGUAUGCCAAAUUCUAACCCGGCAAUAUUCCUAAUGCACAAUAUUCCAAUGCACAAAAUAUUAACAAUACAACAUAAUAAAUUAUAAAUUCUAAUACUAAAAAAACAAUUAAUCCAAUAUUUGUGGGGGCUUCUUCCUCAUCCUACAGAUAAUUUUUAACACCAUAAUCGAUUUAUACAUAAUUUCAUAAUAUUUUCCAAACAAUACAAAACAUUUUCUAAACCAUAAUCUCAUAAUAUUCUACAAUACAAAAUUUCUCAAUAAUUCAACCAUAAUCUCAUGCUAUUACCCUGAGUUGGUGAUGGCUUGUAGAUUCGGGUCGCAGUCGCCUGGGUUUGCUGCUGCUGCACCGCCGCACGGGUUAGCUACUGCUGUGGGUUUGAGUGGCUGCUAAUACGUUGCGCAGUUAAUGCUCCUGGGUUGCUACCGAGUCGCGGGCUGCACUCGCGUGGCUGCGUCCCUCAAGCUCAAUCGACGAUAGAUGAACGAUGGUGGUUGUAAUCGUCGGUUCGCUGUGAGUUAAUGACAGUGGCUACCGGCGGCUGUUUUUGUUUCUUGAUUGCUUCACUUGGUAUGGGUGGGUGAGUGUGAUUCGUGUGAGAGAGGUAGAGAGCAACGAGAGCGGUUGAGUGAGGGGAGAAUUUUUAGGGAUUUAGCCUUUAGGUUUCCGCUACUAUUUUUUUUUUUUUGGUUAUUUUCUUAAAAUUACAAUAUUAACCUUCAAAUUUUAAAAGCCUUUCAAAUAAAUUUAAGAAUAAAAAAGUAAUUUAAUUAAACAAAUAAUAAAAUAAUUUUAAACGAAUCGACCCGUAUUCGAUUCGUUUAUGACCCAUUUAUUAAACGAAUUCUAAACGAAUAAACGAAUCCAAAUUUUCAAACCCGCAUUCGAUUCGUUUAAUUAACGAAUCGAAUCGAAUUCACCCAUUUAUUAAACAAAUCAAUUUUUUCAAACCCAAACCCAUUUAAUUCGCAUCGAAUCGAAUCGAAUAAACGAAUCCUGACCUAUAUUGCCACCCCUAACUGUAAUAGCAAAUCAAAUAAGUAGAGCCGGAACUAUGCAUGUAAAAAUAAUGAACCUCAAACUUCAAAAGAAUUUAUUAAGACCAUGCUUCUCAUCAAAAUUGGAAACAACUUUCGCCUAUUUUCUUUUUUUCUUUUGCAAAGUAAUAAAACUUAUUAUGAAUUGGAGACAUCCAGAAACCACCAAAAAUUAAAAAAAAAAUGAAUGGCAAAAGGGUGGACUAAUAAAAGUGGAUGGAAAUGAUGAUAACGAAGAGAUAACUAUUUAAGGAGUGUUCAUGAUGAUCGGCAUGUGAUCCUCUAACGUGAAAUCUAUAUAUUCAUAUAAUUCAUUUUCCUAAUAGAUAAAAAAAUUCAAGAGAAUUAAAAUUAGGGAAAGGGACACCUUUACCCUUAAAAUAUUAAAAAAAUGAUCAUAAAAGACCCUCGAGUUUUAAAAAAUUGACAACCCUUUUUUGUUCCUAAUACUCUUUAAAUAUUUAAUUAGAAAAUUGACUUUAAAUUUUUUUAAUUAAUAUAAAUAAUAUAAUAUGGCUAGUGGACUAAUAAUAUUAAAUUACUUUUAACAUUUAAAUAAUAUAAAAAGAUUUAAGUUAUUAUAUUUAUUUUAAUAAUACAUUUGUAUUUAUUAUAAUAAUUUUAGAUAAAUCUUUGGGUUAAAUAGAUUUUACAAAUAACAAAUUAUUACCCUAUCAACAGGGGCGGAUGCAGUAUGUGACCUAUGGGGGUUGUAGCCCCUGCUGGCUAAAACAAAUACUCUAAGAAUAAAAUAAAAAUUAUUUAAGAUUUCAAAUUAGUCCCCAUUAAAUCUAUUAAAAUUGACCUUAUAAAUUUAUAAACUCACAAAAUUUAAACUUUAACUUUUAGAAUUAUAAAAGCCUACACUAUAAUUAAAAAUAAUGAUAGGACAUCACCACAAAUAUUUUUUUAUUUUGGAAAAUACGUCGAGAACAAUUAUAAAUGUAUUAACAAAUAUUUUAUGCUUUCCAAGUUUUAGUUUUAAAAUUUUACUAUUAUGUAAUCUAGCCCUCGGUAAAUUAUUUUUCUAAAUCUACCACUACCUAUCAAUAAAUAUCAAAAUUGUUUUUUACAUAAUAUUCAAAAUUAUUUUAAUUUUGAUUAAUUUAUUUUAAUAUUAUGUAAUAUUUAUUAUCAAAUAUUACUUUAAUAAAAUAAAACAGGUCUAAUAGAUUGUAAAAUAUUAAAAUAUUUUUAAAAUAUUAAAAUUAUUUUAAAACAUAUAUAUUGUUACAUUUAUUUUAAUGCCAUAUUUUUAUUUGUUAUAAAAUUUUAAAUUUAAUUUUUGAAGUUUAUAGAGUCAAAGGACAUUAUGAUAAAAAAAAAAAAAUCAUGGUAUCACUUACUAAAAAUUUGGAGGACAUUUUAACAAUUUCUUUAAACCUUGAGGGUGAAGUGUCCUUUUCCCUCAGAAAUUAUUACAAAUUUACAAUGUGAUUGAAGCGCAAUGUGAUUGAAGCGUACUUGUCACUUUAACUGGAUUGAGAAAUAAAGCCCUAUGAAGCCUGAUAAUAAUUAAAUUGAGAUAUCGAAUUGAUUUGCAACUACGAAAAAGAAACCUAGCCUAAUUCAUUGCCCGUCCAUCUCCAAAUGCAAAAAAAAAAAAAAAUCCAUAAAUUCGAUUAACAUAAUUUGAAGGUAAAUAUUAUUAUUCUAAUUAAUGCUGAUCACAUCUAAUUGGCUAUGCCAAAAUUGGAACCCCGUAACUAAUUACAAACCAAUAAGUGGUAUCAGAAUAUCUCUUGCCAAAACUACACAGUAUACAUUGCUUAUAUGUGCCUACAUUAUUGUUUAUCAUUAUCUCUAAAAGGAUAAAGAAAUCCUUUGGAUAUGAAUUUUUUUUUUUUUGAUGAAAUGAAAUUUUAUUAAUCAUAAGAGAUUGUCAACAUAGGACAUAAUCACGGAGGUGGAACAUCCCUCCACUCUCCAAGACCUGAUAUAGAACCCCCCCACCCUAGCCACAUUAUGGGCAGUGACAUUCGCAGAUCUAUGCACAAAAGAUAAUCUCACUUCUCCAACUAAUUGAGCUAAGGCUUGACAAUCCGCAAUAAUUAAGCCAAAACCAUUAGGACUAUAAUAAUGAGAAACUAAAGCAGAAUAAACAUUUAAGCAAUCGAUUUCAACAAUAACUUUAGACAAUUGUAAGUUCUUUAUCCAGCUAAGGCCUUCACGAAUAGCCAAAGCCUCUGCCUCGCGAGGGUGAAACAGUCUAGAGAAACUUUGACACUUAGCAGCAACAAAGCAACCCCCAGAGUCUCUGAUCACCCCUCCAAAGUUGUAUCGACCUUGAGAACUGAAAACCCCUGCAUCCACAUUACACUUCAACCAACCUAGAGGAGGUUUACCCCAACACACCGAGCCAUGGCCUAACUGAACUUGCUCAAUUAUAAUGAAAUUCUUCCUCUUAGCCUCUUGCCACUGGAAAAGAUAAUGCCCUGCAACAUUCACUAGGCUUUUGGCACGCCCAUUAUGACCAUUCCACACUUUGUCAUUUCUAUUAAGCCAAAGCUUCCAACAUACCAUUACAGCCAAAGUGCACUCUUUCUUGCGACAUUUGAUAAAGAUUUGCUCAAUGCAAUCAAAGAAGGAAGAGCAUCUCCUUCCCGUUCCAAGCGAGGACAGUAACUAACAAGAUUGGGCAAACAAACAUUCCACCAGACAAUGAUAAACAUAUUCAUUGGCAGCACUACAUAUAGGGCAAAUUAGGAAGACAUCAACCUUUCGAGAGAGCAAGUUAUCCGCAGUUGGCAAGACAUUUAUCAAAGCACGCCAAAUAAAGUGUUUAACCUUGCCUGGAACCUCCAGCCUCCAUAAGAACUUCCACACCUUACUAUUGGAACCAUUUGGAGCAGAGUUCAACACAUUAUAACAGCUUCUGACAGUGAACUUGCCUUUUGUAUCAGCAAGCCAAAACCAGCGAUCGUCAUCUUCUCGAGUGCUAAGAGGUACCUGUAGAAUCAAUGCAGCAUCCCUUGUAUUGAAAAUAUCCGCAACUAAGUCGUUAUCCCAUUGCCUUUGACCCGGAACCAUAAGACUAUUUACCAUAGUUGUUGCAAGACUGUCAUCCAGAACAGUAGUGAUGAAUCCAUUAUCCGCAUCGGGAAGCCAAGGGUCCUUAUUGAUUUGAAUCUGUUGUCCACUCCCAAUUUGUAUACGACUGCCCUUCACCACAACAUGCUUGGCAGCCAUGAUUAAUCUCCAAGUGUAGCUAGGGUUGAAACCCACGGUUGCAUCAGUAAAUGAAGACCGAGGAUAGUAUCUAGCCUUAAGUAUCCGAGCUACAAGAGAGUGCAGAUGGGUCAUAAGUUUCCAACAUUGUUUGCCUAACAUAGCAAAAUUAAAGUCAUGAAUCCUUUUAAAAUCAAUACCCCCAACUGACUUUGGUUUACCCAAUAAGUCCCAUCGAAGCCAACGAAUUCCUUGGCCACCCUGCCGAUUUUUUCCCCACCAAAAGGAGUUCAUCAUAAUCUCCAACUCUUUAGAGGUAACAAAUAGAUAUUCAUGGCAUAAUUCAUAAUUGCUUGGGCUACUGUUUUCAGCAUAAUUUCCUUCCCCGCCCUGCUUAGAAGUUUCUGAUUCUAGCCUUGAAUCCGCAACCAAACCCUCUCUUUGAUAAAGCUAAAAACAUCGCUUUUCUUCCUUCCUAUCAGAGAUGGCAGUCCCAAGUAGGUUCCAUGAGUACUUGUAGCAGAGACUUCCAGGAUUCCACACACUUGGCGUAGAGAAGCCUUAUCCACAUUUGCACUGAAAGAGAGCACAGAUUUAUUAUAGUUUACAUGUUGCCCAAAUGCAGCCCCAUAAAUAGCCAGCAGACUCUUCAUAAUGCGAGCUUCAGUGUGAUUAGCUUUAAAAAAUAAGAGGCAAUCAUUCGCAAAGAACAAAUGAGAAACCGCAGGGGUACUCCUAGCCACUUUAACCCCAUGAAUUAACCCUGCCCUUUCACGAUUUCGAAUCAAAGAACUAAGCCCUUCUACACAAAUAAUAAAUAAGUAAGGUGACAGCGGAUCCCCUUGCCGAAGCCCCCGACUCGGAAUUAUCGGCCCCACUUCCACCCCAUUUCUAAUCACUUGAUAGCUUACUGUAGAUACACAUAGCAUAAUGAGCUCAACCCAACCUUUCGCAAAUCCCAUCCGCAACAUCAUAAACUUCAGAAAAUUCCAUUCAACGUGAUCAUAUGCUUUAGACAUGUCGAUCUUAAGUGCCGCAACCCCAACCUUUCCUUGUUUCUUCCGCUUCAGAUAGUGGACAAUUUCGGUGGAGAUAAGGAUGUUGUCAGUGAUCGCUCUGCCCGGAACAAAUGCGCUCUGCGAUUCGGAAAUAAUCGAAUCCAAAACCAGUUUCACUUUGGAUAUGAAUUUUAAAAUCCAAUUAAAGAUGCUUACAACCAACCAUAUAUAUCUAGAUCCUUGCCACUAAAAUAUCCCAAGCGAGCAAGCAAACCCAUUAUUGAAAUUAUAAAUAGCACCCUUAGACACUUUUUAUCUCUUUCAAACUAUACCAACUUCUUGAAAUAAUGGAGAAAACAAGUCAACUUAAAUUGGCUGCUUGCUUUUUAGUUUUUCUGAUAAUUGCUUCUUCUAGUAAAUAUUACUUUUAUCUCCUUUACUCAUAUUUAAAGUUUUAUGAGUUUUCCAUUCCAGCUACUUCUUGCAAAAUUAGUACAAAAAAAAAUGAUACUUCUUGCAAAAAAAAAUUAUAAAAACUUCUAUUUCUUCUUUUAAAUAAUUUACUCAUUCGACAAUUGGAAAGCUCAUAUUCAAUAUUAGUGAGAAGUUUAACUCAUGAAAUGCUUUAAAAGAAUUUGAUUUAGGUUUAUGCAAAGGAGCAGAAGCGAUAAACAUUGGGAAUUGCAAAGAUGACAAAGAUUGCGACCAAUUUUGUACACCUCCCGGUUUUGGUAUAUGCAAGUUUGCGUAUAGUUACUAUCGUGGAGGAAAGUUUUGCUGAGCACAAAUUCUCUCCUAGUCAUCACUAGAAAAAGUGACAAUCAUUUGUAUUUGAUAAUAAUAUUUUGAACAUCAACAUUUAUUAAUAAUGAAUAAUUUGUUUUAUAUAUUUAUGGUUCAUCACUGUUAUUGAGAAUGUAUCGCUUUGAAUAUUAAACCCAACUUCAUAUUAAAAUAUUUCUGGGCUGAUUUUAUCAUUUUACUAUUUUACUUUUGAUUAAGUAAAAUAAGUAAAAUAGUGCAAACAAAAAGAAAAUCCAAAAGACUUCAAAAAAAAAAAUUACAUUUAUAGCAUAUCAUGUUAGAAAAUUAACUUUCGGUAAAAACUAUCACCUAAACUCUAAGGACAUUCAUGUUGUAUCACCAAAUAAUUAACAAACGAAUAUGCAAAAACGUACCUAAAGCAUAAUACUCAAUUGCUUUCUAGAGUCGUGUGGCUUGUCUCCUAGAUCAACCCAAUAUCCUAGAGAACCUCUUAAAUUUCUCUCUGCACUUUCUCUAAUGAUGUGAUGUCAGAAAAGUAUAGAAUGAUACAUGUAACAUGAGGAUCAUAACCACUUAUAUAAAUAACUUUUCCUAUUAUUUUUUAAUAUUUUUAUUUUAGCCCAUUAUAGAAAUAGAAAUUAUCUUAAACACGUUUAUAUUAAAGGCCACACCCUACUAAAUACAUUAAAGUUUAAAUUAUCAAAAAAUUUAACUGAUCAUUGCUGAUUGGACUUAACGGCAAUUCACAUCACAUAAUUAUUUACGUAUACGUGUAACGUUAGAUUACAGAUCUAAUAAUAUUGGAUUAAAGAUCCAACAUAUCAUUCCAAUUGAAACUUAGCAUAGAUAAGCUGAUUGAGUUUAUGAAAUUGUAUAAAUUCAACGAUGACAAGAACGGUAUCUCUUUAAAUUAACUUAUAAUUUCAAUUUGAUUAAUAUGGAAUAACAAGUGGGCCAAAUCAUUUGAAUGAUGUUACGAAAAUCAAUUAACUAUUUUUCUUAAAACGUACAUCAGAUAAGAUAUGUACAAGGUACCACCAAGUUUGUUUUCUAUGAUGUUAAAUUUCAUUUCAUCCUUUAUUUUCAUUUUUAUUUAUAGUUUAUUUGUAAGUUUAUGCGCUUGGGCAGGUGGCCUUCUAAAAUGUAAUUUUAUUUUAUUUAAUAUUAUUUAUUUUUUAAAAAAUAAAUAUAUUAUAAUAAUAAGUCUAUGAUAAUAUUAAAUAAAAUAAAUAAAUAAUAUUAAAAAUAUUAAUGUUAAAUAAAUAUAAUAAGAAGCAUGUGACUAUAUAAUGUUAAAUAAAAUAAAAUAAAAUAAAUAAUAUUAAAAACUUAUUCUUUAAAUAAAAAUAAAUAAUAUUAAUUAAAAAUGAUAUUUAUUUUUUAAGACCCACUACUGAUUAUUUUAUUUUAUUUUAUAUUAUUUAAUUUUUUUAAAGAAUAAAUAUAAUAAUAAUUCUAUCACUAAAUAAAUGAAAAUAAAUAAUAAUAAAUAUUAUUUAUUUUAAUAAAAUAAAUAAUAUUAAAAAUAUAUUCUUUUAAAUAAAUUAAUAAUAUUAAAAUAAUAUUUAUUUUUUAAGAGUCGCUACUAAUUAAACAACAUAAAUUUGAAACAAUUUAGAGAUCUAUCUAUGUUCCACAUUUUUUUGUCUUUAUUUGGCAAAGCCAUUGCAUGCUUUAUUGUUCAAUCCAACGACUGCAAAUAAUUUUUUUUUAAAUCAAACAGCUAUCGGCUUAGGCGGUUGCUUUAUACAGUUAGGUUCUCGCCUUGCUGCCAUCCUGGAGACGUGAGAGUCAAUGGCCACCAGACACAAAAUUCGUGAGCAAUCAAUGGCGCCAGCAGGCACCAAAUUAAUGCCAAGCACGCCAACAACACCAGUUAAUGGCAAGUUCAGUGUUUUAAAGUUAGAAUUUUGACACUACUGGUUUCGCUCGCCGUCAAUUCACCACCAUCACCGAUUUGGUUGAGAAAAAUAGAUGUUUCAGAAUUUGUAAGUUAAAAGUGUAAUUAGUUAACAUUAUAAAAAAAUUGGAAUUCUGGUCCUUUUUAUAUUAAAAUGUAGAAAGUAGUUUAAUCUAUAGAAUUUCAUUAAAAUUAAAUUGAAAAAUAUAUUUAGAGUAUUAUACAAAUUCAAUAAAUUUUCAUAUGAAGUCUACUAACCCGCAAAUUAAUUUAAUUAAAAAAAUAUCCAUUAUUUAGAGAAGCAUUUGCUACCGUAUCCAAGUAUUGAAUCAUCAAAAAUCAAUCUGUUUUGGACUCUUCAAUUCAAUUUGACGACUCCACCAAAGCCACCCAACAACAACUCAAACAAUUGAAUCACUCGUCCUAAUAGCAUAACAAUCCAGUCGUCGCCUGCACGUGAGAGGCCAUUUUCUUAUUCAUGAUUGGAAUUCUUAAAUCAAUUUUACAGUUCUCCUGCACCAAUUUUCAUCUUGUACGGUGCCUCAAGAAGUGAAGAUCGAUGUCGGAAUCACUUCAGCUUCAAUUGGAUGGUGUUUGCGGUCUUAUACCAAUUUCGGUAUACAAUUGUUGUCGAAUCUUAUCUGUAUCAAAGCAACCCCCUAUGCCAUUGACCAAUAGUUGUCUGAUUUAAAAUAUAUAUAUAUAUAUAUAUAUAUAUAUAUUUGCAGCCAUUAGAUUGAACAAUAAAGCAUCCAAUGGCUCGAUCAAAUAAAGAUAAAAAAAAUGUGGUACGGUGCAACUAUUGUAACACAGGUGAAUCCACAAUCUAGACUUAUCUAUUAAAAUUUUAACUCUUUAACUUUUUGAGUUUUCAACAAAUAUUAGGAGUAUAAUGUUAAUAUUCAAAUAGACAAAUCUCUACCAUUGAAACUAUCUUUUUAUUAAAAAUCCAAUGAUGAAGGAUUGAAAUCACAUAAAAACAAAAUUGGUGGUAUCGUUCAAUUGUUGCAAGGGAGAUGAGUCCAUAAGAUAUAACGAAGAUAAUGACGAAAGAAGAAAUAUUUUGAGAGGAAAAAUAAGAGUAAAUCAUAGGGAUAAGGAUGAUAAAAUUCUCCAUGAAUUUGGAGUUCUUAUGUAGUCUCAUCCAAAUGAGAUGAAUUUUAAAUAAUUUUUGGGGAAUGAGGUGAAGAAUGAGAGAAAAAUAAUCCUCAAUUUUUUAAUGAGCUGGGAUUUAGUUUCGUAAUCUCAACUAUACCCCCCAAUCCCUAUUAUAUGUAAAUAUUCUUUUAAUUUUUAUUUAGUAAUUUUUGUUUUAUUAAUUACAAUGUUGAUUAAUAAAUUUUUUUUAUAUUUUUACCAAAUAUAAAUAAGUUAUAAUUAAAAGAAAACCCUACAAUAUAAUUCUUACUUAGCCCUAAAAUAUUGUUAUUUUUUUCUUUUUUCUAUUAAGGUGCCAUUCGCUUCAAACAAAUCAAGCCUCAUUCAUCAAGAAUUUUCAGCAAAGUUUAACAUGUUAGAAAUAUUCUAAUAUAGACUACCAGCAUAAUUGUAGCUUGAUCUUGACAUACAAAAGUAUAUGCAAUAUAUUCGUCUUUUUUUUUCCUCCUCAUAUGUUAGUUUGUUUAUAUGAUUAGGUUCUAGUUAUGGUUCUUUUACAAGAAAAUAGAUGCGACUCAUUUUAUAAAGAUAUAUGAGGUAAAGUUUUAUUUGAACGAGUUUUAUCAUCUUAUUUGUUACAAAUGUUUAGAAAUGACAUACAACAAAACAUUUCUUUAAACAAAUUUACAUUCAAAAUCUCUCCUAUGCUUGCACUGUGUUGUGUUGUGCCACAUUCUGCCCAGCCCAUUAUAGCCCCAUUUUGCAAGCCUUAUUUUCUGUAAUAGGAAAUCAGACAAGUAGAGCCGGAACUAUGCAUUUAAAAAUAAUGAAUCUCAAACUUCUAAAGAAUUUAUUAAGACCAUCCUUCUCAUCAAAAUUGGAAACAACUUUGGCCUAUUUUCUUUCUUUCUUUUGCAAAGUAAUAAAAAUUGUUAUGGAUUGGAGACAGCGAAAAACUACCCAAAAAAAAAAGAUUGGAAAAUGGGUGGAUUAAUUGAAGUGGAUGGAAAUGAUGAUAAUGAAGAGAGCUAUUUAAGGAGUUUUGACUUUUGAAGAUGAGGGCAUGUGAUCCUCUAAAGUGAAAUUUAAAUAUUCACAUGAUUCAUUUUCCUAACAGAUAAAAUGUUUCAAGAGAAUUGAAUUAUUACAAAUUUACAAUUUGAUUCAAGCAUAAUUGUCACUUUAACUUGAUUGAGAAAUAUAGUCCUACGAAGUUUGAUAAUAAUUAAAUUGAUAGAUUGAAUUGAUUUGCAAGUAAGAAAAAGAAAACUAGCCUAACUGAUUGUUGACCAAGUUUGAGUAAUGGCUCAUUGAUCACUUCGACUAGGAGAUAGGUCAUCGCCAUCCAUCUCCAAAUGAAAGAAAACCAAAAUUCGAUAAAUUCAAUUUAACAUAAUUUGAAGGUAAAUAUUAUUAUUCUAAUUAAUGUUGAUCACAUCUAAUUGCCCAUGCCAAAAUUGGAACACCAUAACCAAUUGCUUCUACAGGCCAACAAGUGGUAUCAGAAAAUCUCUUGCAUGUUAGAGUAUCUGAUGAUGCUGAUGAUAUUGUACAGUGAUGAUGAGUUGAUGAUGCUAUGUAAUGGUGCUGAUGUGGUAUUAUGCAAAGUUCAACAGAGUACGAUAGAAGAACAUGAUAAAGAUGGUGGUUUAGCAUGUGGCUUAAUAUACCAGCUGAAGAAUUAGUUAUGAUGACUUGGCAAGGUUGUUGUAACAGUUUUAGUAACAGAUUAUGUAUUCUUUAACAAUACAUGAAGAUUCCAGAAUAAUCUAGCUAUUAGAUUCUUGUAAUAAAUUUGUAAUAUAAAUAGUGUGAUCUGUACACAGUAUGAUUACAAUGCCUUGAUUAAAUAAAUACAUUUUCCUUUCACUUUCCAUUUCAUUUUCCUUAUAACCAAACACCAAAUUAGUUGUAUUCAAUCAUGGUAUCAGAGCCUUCAGCACUUUCUAAUCAAACAAAGACUUCGUAUAACUUUGUGACACCUGUGAAACUAGAUCAAAAACAACUUUAUCAUCUAGGGAACUCAAGUGUUAACUUCGAUUAAAGGCAAUGGCCUAGAGGGAUUCAUCACUGGAGAAAAUAAGUGUCUAGAUCCGUAUCUUGUUCAAGGUGAAAGUGUUGCUAGCUCCUCUAAUACUAGAUCUGGAUCAAGAAUUGAGAAUCCUACUUUUUCAACCUGGAUAAGAAAAAAUCAGCUUAUUCUCAGCUUUGCUUUCCUGCUCAAGUCUCAAUCCACCCGUCUCUCUCUUUGCUCAUUUACCUAGUUCUGAUAUGUCAAGUUGUUCUGAUGUUGUUAGUCAUAUGUCCCAUUUGAAUAAACGUAUUUGUAUUGCAGCUGCUUUGACAGUCUCAUCAAUGUCAGUAAGCAUAAAUUUACUUUACAAAAGGCUUGGUCAUCCAGCCAUUUAUACACUAAAGAGUGUUUUGAAAACAUGUAAUCCUUUUGCUGAUAUCAAUAAAGUCCAUAAACUCAAUUUUUUUCAAUGCCUAUCAGUAUGGUAAAAAUCAUCUCAAAUACUUUAGUUCUGUUGAAUCCAAAACCAGUGAACCAUUACAACUUCUGUAUGGAGACCUUGGGGACCAUCAUCUACUUCAUCCAUCCAAGGAUACAACUAUUAUCUGUCCAUUUUAGAUGAUUAUAGCAUAUUCACUUGGAUUUUUCCUUUAACAACAAAAUCUUAUGCUCUUCCUGUUUUUACCACUUUCAAAACAUUUAUAGAACAACAUUUGAAUAGGAAGAUCAAAACAGUUCAAACAGGCUGGGGAGGGGAGUUCAGGUCCUUUUCUUCUCUUAUUCUAUCUUCAGGCAUACACUUUAGGCAUCCAUGUCCUCACAUUCAUCAUCAAAAUGGUAGAAUUAAAAGGAAGCAUAUGCAUAUAGUUGAUGUUGGCGUUACAUUGUCAGCUCAAGCUAAACUUUUCUUAAUUUUUUGGUGGAAUUCCUUUUAGACUUUUUCAUCAACAACCUGACUAUAAUAGUUAAAGAGUGUUUGGUUGUUCCUAUUUUCCCUAUCUUAGACCAUACGACAAACAUAAACUUGAAUUCAGAACAGAGAGGUGUGUUUUUAUUGGCUACAGGCCACAUCACAAGGUCUAUCAAUGUUUACAUUCAUCAGGAAAGGUGUAUAUCUCAAAUCAUGUUGUGUUUGAUGAAAAUUCUUUUCCUUAUCAGCUUGGUGUUGAUUUUUCUUCUAUUCAAGAGUCUUGUUCUUCUCAGUCCACUUCAUCUUCUCACUCAGCUACAGAAACUUCAUCUUCUAUGAUGCAAGCCUUCUUAGCACCUUCUUCAACAAGUAAUCUCUUAGCCUCCUCUUCAUCACAGGUAUCACAUUCACUUUCUCUUGUUGAUUUACCAGUAGUUUCAUUUUCUAAUCAAUCUGAACACUCAUCUCCAACAAAUAAUACUUCAUUAAAUAAUGCUCUUCCUAGAUCACCCACUUUGCCACACAAUCUUCCUUUGCCUCAACCACUUGGACACCCCAUGAUUACCAGAUGAAAGGCUGGUAUCUUUAAACCAAAAAUAUAUUUAGCAGCAUUGCUUUCUACUCCCAUAGAACCAACCUCUGUUAGUUAAGCCUUAUCAGAUCCAAAGUGGUUUAAAGUAAUGAAGGGAGAAUAUGAAUCCUUGCAAGCUAACAAGACUUGGAUUCUAGCUAAGCUUUUUUUUCCUGUCAAAGUUAUAGGUAACAAGUGGGUAUUUUGAAUUAAGUACAAUCUCGAUGGCUCUAUUUCUAGAUAUAAGGCUCGAUUUGUAGCAAAAGGUUUCUCUCAAACUCAAGGGGCAGAUUAUAAUGAAACUUUCAUCCCAGUUGUUAAAGCUUCCACUGUGAGGAUUGUUCUUAGCCUAGCUGUGAUGAACAGAUGAAUUAUUAGACAAGUGGAUGUCAAUAAUGCAUUUCUAAAUGCCUUUCUUGAAGAAGGUGUGUAUAUGAAUAAGCCUGAAGGAUUUAUUGAUUCUUCUAAAGCACAUUAUGUCUACAAGCUCACCAAAGCUCUCUAUGGCCUGAAAUAAGCACUAAGGGCUUGGUUUGAUAGAUUUAAAACAGCAAUGAUUCAUCAAUGGCAUUUCAUUAACAGCAAGUCAAAUUCCUCUCUGUUAUAUAAGUGGCAUGGUGGUCAUGUUUUGCUGGUUUUGGUUUAUGUAGAUGACAUAAUCAGUACUGGUUCUAAUUCAGAUAUGAUCCUUCAAGUUAUUUCUAAUAUGCAAGCUACAUUUGCUCUAAAGGACUUGUGAGAGCUCAACUAUUUUUUAGGCAUCUAGGUUACAAAAAACAGAAAAAGGUAUCAGCUUAUCUCAAGCCAAAUAUAUUGCAGACCUAUUAGCUAAGCAUCAUAUGGAUAAAUGUAGCCCUUGUUCAACACCUUUGUCUACCUGUUCCAAGCUUAUCAAAAAUUCAGGUGCUACCAUUGACAACAAAUUGAUAUUGCAUUUUCAGUCAACAAAUUGAGUCAGUUUCUUUCUAAUCCCUUUGAUGAUCAUUGGCAAGCUUGCAAGUGUUUAUUAAGCUAUCUCAAGGGCACCAUUCAUUUUGGUUUUAGAGUUUUAUCACAGUGGUGAUUUACAGCUUAAUUAUUUUACUGAUGCAGAUUGGCUUGUGAUAAAGAUGAUAGGAAAUCUGUUGCUGGGUAUGCUGUAUUUCUAGGUUCAAAUUUAGUCUCCUGGUCAUCUAAAAAAGUAGCAUGCAGUUUCUCGUUCCAGAACAGAAUCUGAGUAUAGAGCAUUGGCAUCAGCUACCUCGUAAGUGUUAUGGAUUCAGGCUUUACUCGCAUAGUUGAAGCUCAAAUCAGUAGUUAUGCCUCUUAUGUGGUGUGAUAAUCAAGGGGCCAUAGCUCUUGCUAAUAACCUAAUGUAUCAUGCCAAGACUAAGCAUGUUGAAUUGGAUAUUCAUUUUCUUAGAGAGGAGGUGUCAGCUAAGCAACUUGAUAUAUGUUAUAUUCCUAGUGUUGAUCGAACUGCAAACAUUUUCACUAAAGCUCUUCCUUAUAGUCAUUUUCAUUAUCUUAGAUGCAAAUUUAAUGUUCUUCCUGGAACAUUUUGCUUGAGGGGGGAUGUUAGAGUAUCUGAUGAUGCUAAUGAUAUUGUACGAUGAUGAUGAACUGAUGAUGCUAUGUAGUGGUGAUGAUGUGGUAUUAUGCAGAGUUCAUAGAGUAUGAUAGAAGAAGG